rnacentral:rRNA from 1 species
AAGGGUGCGUAGGCGGGUAGGUAAGUCAGUGUGAAUCCUUGAAGCUCAACUCCAGAACUGCCAUGAUACUAUCUAUCUUGAAUAUUGUGGAGGUAAGCGGAAUAUGUCAAGUAGCGGUGAAAUGCUUAGAUAUGACAUAGAACACCCAUUGCGAAGGCAGCUUACUACGCAUAUAUUGACGCUGAGGCACGAAAGCGUGGGGAUCAAACAGGAUUAGAUACUCUGGUAGUCCACGCCCUAAACUAUGGAUACUCGACAUAUGCGAUACACUGUAUGUGUCUGAGCGAAAGCAUUAAGUAUCCCACCUGGGAAGUACGUUCGCAAGAAUGAAACUCAAAGGAAUUGGCGGGGGUCCGCACAAGCGGUGGAGUAUGUGGUUUAAUUCGAUGAUACGCGAGGAACCUUACCUGGGCUAGAAUGCUGGGAGACCGCUAGUGAAAGCUAGUUUUGUAGCAAUACACUGCCAGUAAGGUGCUGCAUGGCCGUCGUCAGCUCGUGCCGUGAGGUGUUGGGUUAAGUCCCGCAACGAGCGCAACCCCUAUCUUUAGUUGCCAACAGGUAAUGCUGGGAACUCUAAAGAAACUGCCGCCGUAAGGUGUGAGGAAGGAGGGGAUGAUGUCAGGUCAUCAUGGCCUUUAUGCCCAGGGCUACACACGUACUACAAUGGGGAAGACAAAGGGCUGCAACAUAGCGAUAUGAAGCCAAUCCCAAAAACUUCCUCUCAGUUCAGAUUGCAGGCUGCAACUCGCCUGCAUGAAGCUGGAAUCGCUAGUAAUCGUAUAUCAGCAAUGAUACGGUGAAUACGUUCCCGGACCUUGCACACACCGCCCGUCAAGCCAUGGGAGUCGGGUGUACCUAAAGUCGGUAACCGUAAGGAGCUGCCUAGGGUAAAAUCGAUGACUGGGGCUAAGUCGUAACAAGGUA